rnacentral:rRNA from 1 species
GACAGAGGGUGCAAACGUUGUUCGGAAUUACUGGGCGUAAGCGCGCGCAGGCGGCCUUGCAAGUCGGGCGUGAAAUCCCACGGCUCAACCGUGGAAGUGCACUCGAAAACUGCGAGGCUAGAGUCUUGGAGAGGAAGGCGGAAUGCUUGGUGUAGAGGUGAAAUUCGUAGAUAUCGGGGAAGGAACACCGGUGGCGAAGGCGGCGAUCUGGGUCGAUACUGACGCUGAGGUGCGAAAGCGUGGGGGAGCAACAGG